UACGUAGGGUGCGAGCGUUGUCCGGAAUUAUUGGGCGUAAAGGGCUCGUAGGCGGUUUGUCGCGUCGGGAGUGAAAACCUUGGGCUUAACUCAGGGCUUGCUUUCGAUACGGGCAGACUAGAGGUAUGCAGGGGAGAACGGAAUUCCUGGUGUAGCGGUGAAAUGCGCAGAUAUCAGGAGGAACACCGAUGGCGAAGGCAGGUCUCUGGGCUGUAACUGACGCUGAGGAGCGAAAGCAUGGGGAGCGAACAGG
rnacentral:rRNA from 1 species